UCAAGCGAACAAGGGCGCAGGGCGAAUGCCUUGGCACUGGGAGCCGAUGAAAGACGUGAUAAGCUGCGAUAAGCUUCGGGGAGCUGCAAAUAAGCAUUGAUCCGGAGAUUUCUGAAUGAGGAAACUCACCUGGGUUCAUACUCAGGUACGUUAUACUGAACUUAAAAAUAGGUAUAUCGAGGGAACCGCCUGAACUGAAACAUCUAAGUAGGGCGAGGAAGAGACAUCAAACGAGAUUCCGUAAGUAGUGGCGAGCGAACGCGGAAGAGGGCAAACCGGGAGUAGAAAUACUUCCGGGGUACGGACUGCUUUUAGGACUUAAUCUGUUAACCGAACGGCAUGGGAAGGCCGGUCAGAGAGUGUGAGAACCACGUAGGUGAAAACGACAAGAGCUGAGCAAGUUCCAGAGUACGGCCAGACACGUGAAACCUGGUCGGAAUACGGGGGGACCACCCUCCAACCCUAAAUACUACCCAGUGACCGAUAGCGUAUAGUACUGUGAAGGAAAGGUGAAAAGCACCCCGGGAGGGGAGUGAAAAAGAACCUGAAACCCUGUGCCUACAAGCACCUAGAGCACGUCAAUGUGUGAUAGGGUACUUUUUGUAGAACGGUCCGGCGAGCGAUUGUAUGCAGCAAGGUUAAGGACUUAAGGUCUGGAGCCGAAGCGAAAGCGAGUUUGAAAAGGGCGUUAAGUUGCAUACAAUGGGCCCGAAACCGGGUGACCUACCCAUGGUCAGGUUGAAGUGGAAGUAAAAUUCCAUGGAGGACCGAACCGACCUCCGUUGAAAAGGCGGCGGAUGAACUGUGGGUAGCGGAGAAAUUCCAAUCGAACCCGGAGAUAGCUGGUUCUCCCCGAAAUAGUUUUAGGACUAGCCUCAAGUUAGAUACCUGGAGGUAAAGCACUGAAUAGCCUAGCGGCCGAGAGGUUAGCGAAGCUUAUCAAACUCAGAAUGCCAGAGUAUUGAUGCUUGGGAGUCAGACAGUGUCAGAUAAAUGUCAUUGUCAAAAGGGAAACAGCCCAGAUCUACAGCUAAGGUCCCAAAGUCAGGUUAAGUGGAAAACGAUGUGAAGAUACGUAGACAACCAGGAUGUUGGCUCAGAAGCAGCCACACAUUCAAAGAGUGCGUAAUAGCUCACUGGUCGAGCGUCUUUGCGCGGAGAAUUUAACGGGGCUAAACCUGACACCGAAGCUUAGGCAAUACAGCAAUGUAUUGGGUAGGGGAGCGUUGUAUACGCGGUGAAACAGUAGCGCAAGCGGCUGUGGAGUGUAUAGAAGUGAGAAUGCCGGAAUGAGUAGCGCGAAUGCAGUGAGAAUCUGCAUGGCCGAAAGCCUCAGGUUUCUGGAGGAAGGUUCGUCCGCUCCAGGUUAGUCGGGAGCUAAGGUGAGGCCUAACGGCGUAGCCGAUGCACAGACGGUAGAGAUUCCGUCACCACCAAAAGAGUUAAACACAGGGACACAUUUGAAGUCUCGGAGCCGGGUGUUGGUUCCGGUAGCGAUCGAGGGAAGUUAGUACCGAAGUCCGGGAUGGAAGAUGGCGAGAAAAGCUGUGUGUAUUUCUGCGGUGCCCGUACCGCAAACCGACACAGGUAGGUAGGAAGAAGAUUCUAAGGCCAACGGGAGAAGGGUUGUUAAGGAACUCGGCAAAUUGACCCCGUAACUUCGGGAGAAGGGGUGCUCCAGAGAUGGAGCCGCAGAGAAUCGGCCCAAGCAACUGUUUACCAAAAACACAGGUUUGUGCUAAAUCGAAAGAUGACGUAUACGAGCUGACGCCUGCCCGGUGCUGGAAGGUUAAGAGGAGAUGUGCAAGCAUUGAAUCGAAGCCCCAGUGAACGGCGGCCGUAACUAUAACGGUCCUAAGGUAGCGAAAUUCCUUGUCAGGUAAG
rnacentral:rRNA from 1 species